UAGGGAAUCUUCCGCAAUGGACGAAAGUCUGACGGAGCAACGCCGCGUGAGUGAUGAAGGUUUUCGGAUCGUAAAGCUCUGUUGUUAGGGAAGAACAAGUGCGAGAGUAACUGCUCGCACCUUGACGGUACCUAACCAGAAAGCCACGGCUAACUACGUGCCAGCAGCCGCGGUAAUACGUAGGUGGCAAGCGUUGUCCGGAAUUAUUGGGCGUAAAGGGCUCGCAGGCGGUUUCUUAAGUCUGAUGUGAAAGCCCCCGGCUCAACCGGGGAGGGUCAUUGGAAACUGGGAAACUUGAGUGCAGAAGAGGAGAGUGGAAUUCCACGUGUAGCGGUGAAAUGCGUAGAGAUGUGGAGGAACACCAGUGGCGAAGGCGACUCUCUGGUCUGUAACUGACGCUGAGGAGCGAAAGCGUGGGGAGCGAACA
rnacentral:rRNA from 1 species